AACGAACGCUGGCGGCAGGCUUAACACAUGCAAGUCGAACGCCCCGCAAGGGGAGUGGCAGACGGGUGAGUAACGCGUGGGAACCUACCCUUUGGUUCGGAAUAGCUCAGGGAAACUUGAGGUAAUACCGGAUAAGCCCUUCGGGGGAAAGAUUUAUCGCCAAAGGAUGGGCCCGCGUCGGAUUAGCUAGUUGGUGGGGUAACGGCCUACCAAGGCGACGAUCCGUAGCUGGUCUGAGAGGAUGAUCAGCCACACUGGGACUGAGACACGGCCCAGACUCCCACGGGAGGCAGCAGUGGGGAAUAUUGGACAAUGGGCGCAAGCCUGAUCCAGCCAUGCCGCGUGAGUGAUGAAGGCCUUAGGGUUGUAAAGCUCUUUUGUCCGGGACGAUAAUGACGGUACCGGAAGAAUAAGCCCCGGCUAACUUCGUGCCAGCCGCCGCCGUAACAC
rnacentral:rRNA from 1 species